CCUACGGGAGGCAGCAGUGAGGAAUAUUGGUCAAUAGACGAGAGUCUGAACCAGCCAAGUAGCGUGAAGGAUGACUGCCCUAUGGGUUGUAAACUUCUUUUAUAUGGGAAUAAAAUGUUCCACGUGUGGGAUUUUGUAUGUACCAUAUGAAUAAGGAUCGGCUAACUCCAUGCCAGCAGCCGCGGUAAUACGGAGGAUCCGAGCGUUAUCCGGAUUUAUUGGGUUUAAAGGGAGCGUAGGUGGAUUGUUAAGUCAGUUGUGAAAGUUUGCGGCUCAACCGUAAAAUUGCAGUUGAAACUGGCAGUCUUGAGUACAGUAGAGGUGGGCGGAAUUCGUGGUGUAGCGGUGAAAUGCUUAGAUAUCACGAAGAACUCCGAUUGCGAAGGCAGUUCACUGGACUGCAACUGACACUGAGGCUCGAAAGUGUGGGUAUCAAACAGGAUUAGAUACCCUUGUAGUC
rnacentral:rRNA from 1 species